UAUGGUCAAGCAAGUAAGAGCGUAGGGUGGAUGCUUGGCACUAAGAGCCGAUGAAAGACGUGAUAAGCUGCGAUAAGCUUCGGGGAGGAGCAAAUAUCCUUUGAUCCGGAGAUUUCUGAAUGGGGAAACCCACUUGAGUAAACCUCAAGUAUCCAUACGCCAAUCCAUAACGUAUGGAAGGGAACCCGGGGAACUGAAACAUCUAAGUACCCGGAGGAAAAGAAAGAAACAUCGAUUUCCUGAGUAGCGGCGAGCGAAAGGGAAGGAGCCUAAACUGCGGUGCGUGCACUGCAGGGUUAAGGACUGCAAUAAGUUAUACUCAGAGUUACCAGAACGGUAUUGGGAAAGCCGGCCAGAGAGGGUGAAAGCCCCGUAUGGGAAAACGAAGAGGGACAAGCAGUAUCCAAAGUACCACGAGACACGAGAAACCUUGUGGGAAGUCGGGGGGACCACCCCCCAAGGCUAAAUACUCCUUAGUGACCGAUAGCGCAUAGUACUGUGAAGGAAAGGUGAAAAGGACCCCGGGAGGGGAGUGAAAGAGAACCUGAAACCCUAUGUUUACAAGCUGUGGGAGCGCGCAAGCGCAACCGCGUACUUUUUGUAGAACGGUCCGGCGAGUUGCCGGUGCUGGCAAGGUUAAGCGAUCAAGUCGUGGAGCCGUAGGGAAACCAAGCCUAAAUAGGGCCAAAGUCAGCACAGGCAGACCCGAAACCGGGUGAUCUACCCAUGUCCAGGAUGAAGCGGGAGUAAAAUCCCGUGGAGGUCCGAACGCACAUCCGUUGAAAAGGGUGGCGAUGAGGUGUGGGUAGGGGAGAAAUUCCAAUCGAACCCGG
rnacentral:rRNA from 1 species